rnacentral:rRNA from 1 species
GAGCAUAUCAAUAAGCGGAGGAAAAGAAACUAACAAGGAUUCCCUCAGUAACGGCGAGUGAAGCGGGAAGAGCUCAAAUUUAAAAUCUGGUUUGCUUGCAAGCCCGAGUUGUAGUCUGAAGAAACGUUUUCCAUAAGCACUGAGACAAAAGUCCCUUGGAACAGGGCAUCAUAGAGGGUGAGAAUCCCGUCCAUGGUCUCAAGUUGUUUAUUUUGUGAUACGUUUUCAAAGAGUCAGGUUGUUUGGGAAUGCAGCCUAAAAUGGGUGGUAAAUUUCAUCUAAAGCUAAAUAUUGGCGAGAGACCGAUAGCGAACAAGUACCGUGAGGGAAAGAUGAAAAGAACUUUGAAAAGAGAGUUAAACAGUACGUGAAAUUGUUGAAAGGGAACCGUUUGAAGCCAGUCUUACUUGCCUGUGAUCAAUUUUUGCUUCGGCAUGAAUGCACUCUCGGGUAUGGUAGGCCAACGACAGUUUGGAAUGCGAGAAAAAAAUAGAGGAAAUGUGGCCUUCGGGUGUUAUAGUCCUUUAUAAAAUAUCGUGUUCUGGACUGAGGAUCGCAGCAAAAACGUGGGCAGGUGGAUUUCUGUGGUAACUGUCGGUUAGGACAACUUGUUGACCUAGUCUUCCUUAGCCUCACUAUUUACCUUGCUUCUAAUUUGCUUAGGUCGUUGGCAUAAUGGCUUUAAAUGACCCGUCUUGAAACACGGACCAAGGAGUCUAACAUAUAUGCGAGUAUUUGGGUGGCAAACCCAUAUGCGCAAUGAAAGUGAAAUUAGGUGCCAAACCUUCACGGGUGGCAGCAUCGGCCGGCUUUGACGUUUUAACUGACGAGUCUGAGCAGAAGCAUACAUGUUGGGACCCGAAAGAUGGUGAACUAUGCCUGAAUAGGGUGAAGCCAGAGGAAACUCUGGUGGAGGCUCGUAGCGAUUCUGACGUGCAAAUCGAUCGUCAAAUUUGGGUAUAGGGGCGAAAGACUAAUCGAACCAUCUAGUAGCUGGUUCCUGCAA